GAGUGAAAAAAAAAAUCAAAUAUCUCUCUCGUAAUGGUUUUGAUAUGUGUAAAAUCGUAGUUUUUCGUGUUUAAUGAGGAUUUCAAUAAGGAUAGUUUAGGAUUUUGUGAGUGAAAACGUAAAAAACAAAACACAAAACCCGCGCCAUGACAGGCCGUGGCGCGCGGGGCAGAGCCAGGGGGCGCCACCUGCGAGAAGAACAAGAGAACAUCGCCGUGCGCAGACCCGGCCAGGAAAAACUCGAGACCCAGUUCGCUAACCUACGAGUAAGUGACAGCGACAGAGACAGCGCUUAUGGUGGAAGUAGAGGAAGAGGAGGAGGAGGAGGAAGAGAGGAGGAA